AUGCAGGCCUUGCAAAAGGUUUGCAACUGGAAUGAGUACAAUUUAAACCCCUUAACAAGUAACAAUUGGAGGGCAAGUCUGGUGCCAGCAGCCGCGGUAAUUCCAGCUCCAAUAGCGUAUAUUAAAGUUGUUGCAGUUAAAAAGCUCGUAGUUGGAUUUUGGGAUCAAGAAGACCCGGUCUGCCGGGAGGUGUGUACUGGUUUUCUUAUCCUUCCUUCCAGUUGCUUCUAUCUGCUCUUAACUGAGUGGGUAGUUUUUAAGCUCUGGAUCGUUUACUUUGAAAAAAUUAGAGUGUUCAAAGCAGGCCGUUUUGUGCCUUGAAUACAUUAGCAUGGGAUAAUAGAACAGGACUUCUUACCUAUUUUGUUGGUUUCUAGGAGAGGAGUAAUGAUUAAUAGAGAUAGUUGGGGGUAUUCAUAUUUAAUUGUCAGAGGUGAAAUUCUUGGAUUUAUGAAAGAUGAACUUAUGCGAAGGCAUUUAUCAAGGAUGUUUUCAUUAAUCAAGAACGAAAGUUAAGGGAUCGAAGACGAUCAGAUACCGUCGUAGUCUUAACCAUAAACCAUGCCGACCAGGGAUUAGGAGACGUUACAUGGAUGACUCCCCUAGCACCUUGCGAGAAAUCAAAAGUCUUUGGGUUCCGGGGGGAGUAUGGUCGCAAGGCUGAAACUUAAAGGAAUUGACGGAAGGGCACCACCAGGAGUGGAGCCUGCGGCUUAAUUUGACACAACACGGGGAAACUCACCAGGUCCAGACAUAGUAAGGAUUGACAGAUUGAGAGCUCUUUCUUGAUUCUAUGGGUGGUGGUGCAUGGCCGUUCUUAGUUGGUGGAGUGAUUUGUCUGGUUAAUUCCGAUAACGAACGAGACCUCAGCCUACUAAAUAGUUAUGUGAAUCUUCUACUCGGGUGAAGCUCUUCACCUGAGGUGGGUUUAGGCCUAUCUCGCUUGGGAAGUGGAUCCUUGAUGUAUUCAUAGUUAUACUUCUUAGAGGGACUAUUCAUGUUUAGUGAAUGGAAGUUUGAGGCAAUAACAGGUCUGUGAUGCCCUUAGAUGUUCUGGGCUGCACGCGCGCUACACUGACUGUUUCAACGAGUUUAACACCUUGGCCGAAAGGUCUGGGUAAUCUUUGAAAGGCAGUCGUGAUGGGGAUAGACGAUUGCAAUUAUUCGUCUUCAACGAGGAAUUCCUAGUAAGUGCAAGUCAUCAGCUUGCGCUGAUUACGUCCCUGCCCUUUGUACACACCGCCCGUCGCUCCUACCGAUUGAAUGAUCCGGUGAAAUCUUCGGAUGAGAAAGUACAAUUAUCGGGGCAACUUGAUAAUAACUUUUUCAGAAGUUGAUUAAACCUUAUCAUUUAGA
rnacentral:rRNA from 1 species